AGAGUUUGAUCCUGGCUCAGGACGAACGCUGGCGGCGUGCUUAACACAUGCAAGUCGAGCGGUAAGGCCCUUCGGGGUACACGAGCGGCGAACGGGUGAGUAACACGUGAGCAAUCUGCCCUUCACUCUGGGAUAGCCUCGGGAAACUGAGAUUAAUACCGGAUACGACCACUUCAGGCAUCUGAUGGUGGUGGAAAGUUCCGGCGGUGAAGGAUGAGCUCGCGGCCUAUCAGCUUGUUGGCGGGGUAAUGGCCCACCAAGGCUUCGACGGGUAGCCGGCCUGAGAGGGUGACCGGCCACACUGGGACUGAGACACGGCCCAGACUCCUACGGGAGGCAGCAGUGGGGAAUAUUGGACAAUGGGCGAAAGCCUGAUCCAGCAACGCCGCGUGAGGGAUGACGGCCUUCGGGUUGUAUACCUCUUUCAGCAGGGAC
rnacentral:rRNA from 1 species